rnacentral:rRNA from 1 species
AGCUCCAAUAGCGUAUAUUAAAAUUGUUGCGGUUAAAACGCUCGUAGUUGGAUAUCUGCUAAGGGGUUCCGGUCCUUCCUGGUGAAGAAUACGCGGAACUCUCCUUGGCAUUUGUUCAGGGAAAGUGUUUGCACUUUGUUGUGUGUCACGUGAUCUGGAUUUUUACUUUGAGGAAAUGAGAGUGUUCCAAGCAGGCUCACGCCGUGAAUAUGAUAGCAUGGAAUAAUAGCAUAGGACCCUUUCCAA